rnacentral:rRNA from 1 species
GAUGAACGCUGGCGGCGUGCCUAAUACAUGCAUGUCGAGCGAACAGACGAGGAGCUUGCUCCUCUGAUGUUAGCGGCGGACGGGUGAGUAACACGUGGAUAACCUACCUAUAAGACUGGGAUAACUUCGGGAAACCGGAGCUAAUACCGGAUAACAUGUUGAACCGCAUGGUUCAACAGUGAAAGACGGUCUUGCUGUCACUUAUAGAUGGAUCCGCGCCGCAUUAGCUAGUUGGUAAGGUAACGGCUUACCAAGGCAACGAUGCGUAGCCGAACUGAGAGGGUGAUCGGCCACACUGGAACUGAGACACGGUCCAGACUCCUACGGGAGGCAGCAGUAUGGAAUCUUCCGCAAUGGGCGAAAGCCUGACGGAGCAACGCCGCGUGAGUGAAGAAGGUCCUCGGAUCGUAAAACUCUGUUAUUAGGGAAGAACAAAUGUGUAAGUAACUAUGCACGUCUUGACGGUACCUAAUCAGAAAGCCACGGCUAACUACGUG